AGUGAACGCUGGCGGUAGGCCUAACACAUGCAAGUCGAACGGCAGCACAGUAAGAGCUUGCUCUUACGGGUGGCGAGUGGCGGACGGGUGAGGAAUACAUCGGAAUCUACUUUUUCGUGGGGGAUAACGUAGGGAAAUUUACGCUAAUACCGCAUACGACCUACGGGUGAAAGCAGGGGAUCUUCGGACCUUGCGCGAUUGAAUGAGCCGAUGUCGGAUUAGCUAGUUGGCGGGGUAAAGGCCCACCAAGGCGACGAUCCGUAGCUGGUCUGAGAGGAUGAUCAGCCACACUGGAACUGAGACACGGUCCAGCCUCCUACGGGAGGCAGCAGUGGGGAAUAUUGGACAAUGGGCGCAAGCCUGAUCCAGCCAUACCGCGUGGGUGAAGAAGGCCUUCGGGUUGUAAAGCCCUUUUGUUGGGAAAGAAAAGCAGCAGGUUAAUACCCCGCUGUUCUGACGGUACCCAAAGAAUAAGCACCGGCUAACUUCGUG
rnacentral:rRNA from 1 species